AUGACCACCAUUCGAGUGUUACUUUCCUUGGCUGCCUCUUAUGGUCUUAUCAUUCAUCAAAUGGAUGUAAAGACAGCUUUUCUCAAUCGAGAGUUGGAAGAGGAGAUCUAUAUGGAUCAGCCUGACGGGUUUGUGGUAAAGGGUGAAGAGAAAAAGGUGUGCAAGUUGUUAAAAUCUUUGUAUGGUCUGAAACAGGCACCUAAGCAAUGGCAUGAGAAGUUUGAAAGAACUUUGACUUCUGCAGGAUUUUUCAUUAACGAGGCUGAUAGGUGUGUUUACUAUCGCCAUGGUGGGGGCAAUAGUGUCAUAUUAUGUUUGUAUGUGGACGCCAUACUGAUCUUUGGUACAAACAUUAAUGCAAUUAAUGAGGUCAAGUCUUUUCUAUCAAAAAGUUUUGACAUGAAAGAUCUGGGAGAAGCCGAUGUAAUUCUAAACAUCAAACUUAUUAAGGAUGAGAGUGGGAUUACAUUAACGCAAUCUCACUAUGUUGAGAAGGUCUUGAACCGAUUCGGUUUUAUGGAUAGCAAGCCUUCUCCAACACCUUAUGAUCCCAGUGUGACACUCAGAAAGAACAAGAAAGAAACGAGAGAUCAAUUAAGAUACUCUCAAAUUGUCGGUUCACUCAUGUACUUAGCUAGCGCUACAAGACCAGAUAUCUCUUUUGCUGUGAGCAAACUGAGUAGGUUCAUGUCCAACCCGGGUGAUGAUCGUUGGCAUGCACUAGAAAGGGUCUUGCGCUAUCUGAGAGGUACUAUGAGUUACGGAAUUACUUAUUCAGGGCAUCCUGCUGUGCUAGAAGGAUAUAGUGAUUCAAAUUGGAUCUCCGAUGUUGAUGUACUUUACGCAACAAGUGGGUAUGUAUUUACUCAUGGUGGUGACGCAGUGUCAUGGAGGUCUUGUAAGCAAACCAUAUUGACGAGGUCAACUAUGGAAGCAGAAUUAACUGCUUUGGACACAGCUACUAUUGAGGCAGAAUGGCUGCGUGAGCUCUUGAUGGACUUGCCGGUUGUUGAAAAACCUGUACCGGCUAUUCUUAUGAAUUGUGAUAACCAAACGGUUAUCGCUAAAGUGAACAAUUCUAAAGAUAAUGCAAAGUCAUCAAGACACGUGAAAAGACGUUUGAAGUCUGUCAGGAAGUUGAGAAACUCCGGAGUAAUAACUGUUACGUAUAUACAAACAGACAAAAACCUGGCAGAUCCCUUUACAAAGGGACUAUCACGAAAUGUGAUAGAUAUUGCAUCGAGGGAGAUGGGUAUGAGACCCAUAGCAGUCUUGAAAGAACACACCUAUAUGAGUUCUGACUGUAAACGUCGCAGUCUAUGA
rnacentral:rRNA from 1 species